rnacentral:rRNA from 1 species
CUUGAACUAAAUAAGAGGUCCAGCCUGCCCAGUGAAAUUAUUCAACGGCCGCGGUAUCCUAACCGUGCGAAGGUAGCGUAAUCACUUGUUCUUUAAAUGAGGACUAGUAUGAAUGGCACCACGAGGGUUCUACUGUCUCCUUUUUAAAAUCAGUGAAACUAAUCUUCCCGUGAAGAAGCGGGAAUUUUUUUAUAAGACGAGAAGACCCUAUGGAGCUUUAAACAAAUGUCAUUUGCUUAAUCUAAUAUUUUAUUUUCAAGAAAUAUAGCAUUAUGAUCCUUAGUUUUCGAUUGGGGUGAUCACGGAGAAAAAUUUAACCUCCACGCCGAAAGGGUUUAUUCCCUAAGCAAAAAGCUACAGCUUUAAGCACUAAAAAAUUAACGUAGUUUGACCCAAUAUUUUGAUCAACGAAC